AUUCACAAUGGGGGAAACCCUGAUGGUGCGACGCCGCGUGGGGGAAUGAAGGUCUUCGGAUUGUAAACCCCUGUCAUGUGGGAGCAAAUUAAAAAGAUAGUACCACAAGAGGAAGAGACGGCUAACUCUGUGCCAGCAGCCGCGGUAAUACAGAGGUCUCAAGCGUUGUUCGGAAUCACUGGGCGUAAAGCGUGCGUAGGCUGUUUCGUAAGUCGUGUGUGAAAGGCGCGGGCUCAACCCGCGGACGGCACAUGAUACUGCGAGACUAGAGUAAUGGAGGGGGAACCGGAAUUCUCGGUGUAGCAGUGAAAUGCGUAGAUAUCGAGAGGAACACUCGUGGCGAAGGCGGGUUCCUGGACAUUAACUGACGCUGAGGCACGAAGGCCAGGGGAGCGAAAGGGAUUAGAUACCCCUGUAGUCCUGGCAGUAAACGGUGCACGCUUGGUGUGCGGGGAAUCGACCCCCUGCGUGCCGGAGCUAACGCGUUAAGCGUGCCGCCUGGGGAGUACGGUCGCAAGAUUAAAACUCAAAGAAAUUGACGGGGACCCGCACAAGCGGUGGAGUAUGUGGCUUAAUUCGAUGCAACGCGAAGAACCUUACCUGGGCUUGACAUGUAAUGAACAACAUGUGAAAGCAUGCGACUCUUCGGAGGCGUUACACAGGUGCUGCAUGGCCGUCGUCAGCUCGUGUCGUGAGAUGUUUGGUUAAGUCCAGCAACGAGCGCAACCCCUGUUGCCAGUUACCAGCACGUGAAGGUGGGGACUCUGGCGAGACUGCCCAGAUCAACUGGGAGGAAGGUGGGGACGACGUCAGGUCAGUAUGGCCCUUAUGCCCAGGGCUGCACACGUACUACAAUGCCCAGUACAGAGGGGGCCGAAGCCGCGAGGCGGAGGAAAUCCUGAAAACUGGGCCCAGUUCGGACUGUAGGCUGCAACCCGCCUACACGAAGCCGGAAUCGCUAGUAAUGGCGCAUCAGCUACGGCGCCGUGAAUACGUUCCCGGGUCUUGUACACACCGCCCGUCACAUCAUGGAAGCCGGUCGCACCCGAAGUAUCUGAAGCCAACCGCAAGGAGGCAGGGUCCUAAGGUGAGACUGGUAACUGGGAUGAAGUCGUAACAAGGUAGCCGUAGGGGAACCUGCGGCUG
rnacentral:rRNA from 1 species